GGCAUUUUGAGAAAGGGACAAGCCGUCAUUUUGGAAACAGACAGUGAAGGAUGUGCUUCCAUGAGAGAGAGACUCCCUGGAAGAUUUGUACCAGGCACGGCUCAUGAAUGCUGCAAUGGUGGGAUGGAUGGAGCAUCCCAUAGAAGCUCAAUGAUCAGCUGCAAGUGGACCCCGGGCACCCCCCCCAGACCCAGGAGGCACCAGUCGCCGAGCCAGGGAGGGGAGCAGGGGAGCCCCCCAGCUCACUCCUAGUCUACUUCCGGGUCCACCGAGAAGUGCUUCUGGUCCACUUCCAGGUCUGCUGCCAAGCACACUGAGGACCUCCCCACACUCCUGUGAGACGUUCCAUCUGCCCCACGAUCUCAUCGUUCAUGGGCAGCCUGGUACCUUGAAGAAGCAGCCUGUGCAAGGAAGAUAGAGAAACAUGGAAGAAUGAGAAUGAGGACAAGUGCUGCCUAUGUAACACUGACCUCAAAGAGCUGGAUUGUAGCUAUAUUGUCUGGAAGCAGGAUUGGAGAGGGAGGAGCCAAAUGCAGGUAAGCACACACGAGUUCUUCACAGAAAAAGCAGCCUACCUUACAACAGAAAAUGACAGUACUUCUUCCUUUGCAAUUUUGAAGCAAGUCCUCACCACGAGUAAAAGCCCAAGGGUUGAAGAUACCACUGAAAACCUGAGUGUGGCUACCCAGCAGAAGGGAAGCCAGAGGCUUCCAUGCGUGACUUUUGUCUCAACUGCUGUCACCUCGGGUAUACAUGUAAAAUCAAAAUCGGGGUUCUCCUGGGAGCCACACAAUCUCUGUCAAAACAAUACUGCAGACAGAAAGACCUUCAACUUCAUUUUAUUACCAGUUAUAUGUGGGCUGUUACAGACACACUUGCUGCUUACAUUUCAAAACAAGAUUUUCAGUAAUGAAGUUAUAGAUUUUUUUUAAAUAAUUAAAAUCUAGCAAGAUCCUGGAAUACUAGAAAAGUGUCUUAGUAAUUUGCCUGUAAAUCUUAAUGAUGAAUUAAAAG